GCUCCGAUAGGUCAAUGGUAGACCGGCCUUAUGCUUUCAUUUCUGCAUUACAAACUUGGCAGGGAGAUGUGGGUUCGACUCCCGCUUGGAGUG